GGGGGUGACCGGUUUUGACAGCAGGUUGCAGCUGGUUGGUAAGCACGCCGGGUGUUGUGUGGGGACCCGUAAAAGUGAACGCUCAAAAAACAAAAGGCAAUAGCCAAUUCGCACUCGCUGCCUAAUUUCACCAAGUGAAAUUACUUAAUCCGAUGGACACCAGGUGUCGGACGGACGAGUAUCCCGGGGGAUGUGUCCCGCCCUUUGACACUGAACCGUUUACCGGGGUAUCAUCAAUUCAGGGAUAGCACGUGUGGCGGGUCCGGUCCUGCAUGUGUGAGAGAUACGGACUGCGUCGCGCGGUCGGCUGCUCGCUGCCAGCCGUGCGAAAGAGGAUCAAGCGCGAGCUAAGCGUGUAGAAAGCCUUCGGGUUCCUUGUUUGGACGGGGGUUCGACUCCCCCCACCUCCACCA
rnacentral:tmRNA from 1 species